AGGAGGUAAUGGUGUAUCGGGAUCUAAUAUUUAUUGAGCUAACAUGGGCGUUAUCCUUGCAGCCCCAUGAGGGACCUUAAACCCAACCCUUUUCAUGAAGACACUAGGGCUCAAAGUGGAUAAACAACCUCCAGGGUCAUGGAAGCAUCUUGAAAAAGGGAAAAGUUUUGCAGCUCCAGGUCCACAUCAUUUGCUGUCUUGACACCUUAAUCUGCAAAAUCCAGGAGAACAGAAUAUUAGCAAAUAUAUACAUAUAUUUCUAUA